GCCGGUUUCAGUUAUGACCGUGGGGCAACAAUUGAUAUUCCUCUUGAUACAGCUUCAGGAGGAUCACAUAAUCAGAAGAAAGAUAAGGA